rnacentral:rRNA from 1 species
UCGGUUGAUCCUGCCGGACCUUACUGCUAUCGGGGUGGGACUAAGACAUGCGAGUCGAGCGUCUCUAGCUAUGUUGAGACGCGGCAGACGGCUCAGUAACACGUGGCUAACCUACCCUCAGGACAAGGAUAAACCCGGGAAACUGGGGCUAAUACUUGAUAGGCGAAGAUGCCUGGAAUGGUUUUUCACCUAAAGGGCUUUAGAAACAUGCUUCUAAAGUCGCCUGAGGAUGGGGCCGCGUCCGAUCAGGUUGUUAGUGAGGUAACGGCUCACCAAGCCUAUAACCGGUACGGGCCGUGAGAGCGGUAGCCCGGAGAUGGGUACUGAGACAAGGACCCAGGCCCUACGGGGCGCAGCAGUCGCGAAAACUCCGCAAUGCACGAAAGUGUGACGGGGCUACCCCGAGUGCCAUCCGCUGAGGAUGGCUUUUCUUUGGUAUAACUAGCCAGGGGAAUAAGGAGAGGGCAAGACUGGUGUCAGCCGCCGCGGUAAUACCAGCUCUCCGAGUGGUAGGGAUGAUUAUUGGGCUUAAAGCGUCCGUAGCCGGCUUAGCAAGUCUCCUGUUAAACUCAGCGACCUAAUCGUUGAACCGCGGGAGAUACUACUAGGCUAGGAGGCGGGAGAGGUCGACGGUACUUCUGGGGUAGGGGUGAAAUCCUAUAAUCCCGGGAGGACCACCAGUGGCGAAGGCUGUCGACUAGAACGCGCUCGACGGUGAGGGACGAAAGCUGGGGGAGCGAACCGGANUAGAUACCCGGGUAGUCCCAGCCGUAAACGAUGCGGGCUAGGUGUUGAGAUGGCUACGUGCCAUUUCAGUGCCNCAGGGAANCCAUUAAGCCCNCCGCCUGGGGAGUANGGNCNCAAGGNUGAAACUUAAAGGAAUNGNC